UCAUUUUUGUUGCAAGUUUCUGCAAAUAGAAAGGAAAAACGACCACCACUCGCCGAUCAACACAGCCCAAUCCAUCCUAUGUAGCAACCAAACUUCUCAAAACAUAACACGAAAUUGUCAUACAAGCAAAUCGACGAAAAGACCGAGAAAUGCUAAAAGCUCAAAACACUUGCCUUCAUCCAGAAAACAAAUAAAAUCAGCCAACAAUCAGACCAGCGUGGGAAAACAUGAAUCAAAUCCAAACCACGGGAUAUUAAAACGCACAUCACUCCAUAACCAAACAUCAUAAAUAUCUUGCCGGAACAAUUAUCAUACAAACAAGACCAGCAAAACCACCCAAUCAGAACCACAAACAGACAGGAACGAAAGAGAUUUAGAUAAAAUACAAGGUAGAUUAUCUUCCCCAUUAAGUUUCCAUCACAUCUGUAGCUUUACAUAAGACUCUGAAGCUCAUAUCCAACUGCAUUUUCCAACCAUUUGCUUAAGCGAUAGGUGACCCUGUGCAAACGGUCCAAGGAUACAUUUAAGAUCAGAUUCGUCAUUCCAAUAGCACAUGUAGUUUCAGAGAGUAAAAUGGAACUACGACAACUUCCCUUAAACCACAAAAAAAAAGGGUACCGACUAGUAGGACGCCUAAAUAAAUUAUCUUCCUGCUUAGGCAAUAGAUGAUAAGCAAUAGAUGAACCUGUCCAAAGGGUACAUUAGCGCUUGUAAAAUCAAAUUUACUAAUCGACUUGCCGAGUCAGUUCAAAAUAAUAUUAGAUGGAACUAGCAACACUUUUCUUUAAACCCCAAAACAGAGGUCCACCAUCACUUUUGUUGCAAAUGCCUGCAAACAGAAAGUAAAAGAAGAACAGAGGAUUUAAAGAUUGAUUUGAAAGCAAUAUGACUGUAUAAAGUAGUAAUAUGAAUAUUGGACGAAAAGGUGACGGUUGAGGGAGACAUAAGAAAAUACUAUCUCAAUAGUGUACCGUAGACGCAUCUCACUAAGCCUUCAACCAGAAGCAAGAAAACAGUUAGCUUUAGAAAAACAAGGAACACUGAGUCUUCAAACGGCGUAAAGAAGAAGCAAUUCUUUAGAUGAGACAGAUUAAACAGGUAGAGACUCUUUCAUGGUAAUUAUAAGCAUGUACCAGAUACUCCGAUUCCCCUGAGCCAAAAACAUCUUACGUGGUAACCAAACUUCUCAGGACUCCACACAAAACUGUCAUAUAAGCAAAACAAGGAUAAGGAAAAAUACUCAAACUUGAAGCUUCGUCUUCUCAUGAUUUAUUAUUGUUUCCGUCGAAGUCUAUGUCAUCUCAUAAAAGAAAAUAGAAAAAAUAGUGAACCGUAACCAAACAUCAUGACACAUGCCGUAUCAAAAUCACCCAAAUAAGAACAGGAAAUACUAUGGUCGUAUAAAGUAAAAAUCUGAAAAUCGAAUGACAAGGAUGAUGAUCACAUUAAGAAUAUGUAAUCUGGAACUGAAAAAAUCAUAUCCAACAGUAGACUCCACUAGAACCCACUGAGCAACAUAUUACACAAUCAGAAACGAAAGAAAGAUCCAUACGCUAAUUAAAUCACAAAAUAAAUUAUCUUCCCAUCAGAUCGAACCGAGAUCUCUAGCUUAAGCAAUUGACGAUCCUAUCCACAGUAUUCAGGUGUACAUAAGCUCCUAUCCACACUAUCCAUGUGUGCGUAAGCUCUAGUAAAAUGAGAUCCAUCGUUCUACUUGCACAUUUAGCUUAGCUCCAUAAAAUAAAGAUGAGACGAAGCACAACCUUCCUGAAACCACAAAACAGAAAGUACCAAACAGUAAUAAAGCGAAUUGAUAGCCACAAAAAUGUUUGUUGGAAAUUUCUGCAAACAAGUAGGAAAAGCAGUAAAGGUAUUUAAAAUAGAUUAUAAAAAAACUUGUGAUAUAAAGUUAGAAAAAUAAGGAGGAUGAGGGAGAGAGAGAGAAAGCAAGAUUGAACCAUAUCUGGAACUGACGUGUCUCAGAGCUGAAUUCCUACUUUAAUACAACACCUGUGGAUCAACACAGUCCAAAGCAAAGGUCGAAAGUCGAGAAAUAUCAUAUCUUGCACAUAUAUAUAUCAUAAGGAGAAUCAAAUCUUAAUCGGCAGAACAGAGAGAAGGUUCUUCAUAUGAGACAAAUAGGUUGAACAUCCAGUGGCAGACGAAAGUUUACCGGACACUCUGUUUAGAAUUGUCAUAUAAACACAAUCAUGACGAGGGGAGAACAUACUCGUAUUCAAAGCGCUUUCUUCUACAAGGAAUCUUUUUGAGAAAAAAACAAAUCAGCCGAUUACCGAAACCCUGGCAAGAGAAAACACAAUCCAAACGCAAAACCCAUGUUAAUAAACCACUUGUUAAUGCAUACGAAAACCACACCUAAUACCUCGCCGGAUCAAAAUUACCAAAAUAAAACCAAUUCAGAAUCACAAUCAGACGAACGACCCCGAAUCCAUGACGAUCCAAUUGUCAAACCGGCAAAAUAACCCCAAAUAAAAUCAAAUCAGGACCACAAUCAGACGGUAUCGCGAAAGAGAAGAAAAAACACGCGACGGAUAAUCAUUGAAUUGAAUUGCGCAGGUUUCAUAGCGACGAUGAUACAUAUAAUCUAGAAAAACGGAGACGACAAAUAAACAAAAGCAAUAAUCAAACAAAACUCUAAAAUCCGCAGAUAACCAACAAAGACGAGAGACGAAGGAAUGAGUUACGGUUGUAGGAGGGGACGGGUAUUUAUAGAAGAGUCGGUGUUGAGUGGACGGCUGAGAUUAAUCGGAUCAAAGAUACCAAAUGGUUGGACAACCACCGUCAUUUUUGUCGCAAGUUUCUGCAAAUAGAAUUUGAAAUGUAAAAAAUAAUAGAUUAUGGAGGGAUUCAUAAGAAUAUAAAAUUUGGCAUCACUAUCGUACUCACCACCACUCGUUGUUCAACACAACCCAAAUCAUACUAUGUAGCAACCGAACUUCUCAACACAUAACACGACAUUGCCAUACAAGCAAAUUCACGAAAAGGCGGCGAAAAGCCCAAAGCUCGAAACACUUUCCUUUUUCCAGAAAUCCUAUGACCGCGCGGAAAACAAAAUCAAACCAGCCAACAACCAGACCAGGAUGGGAAAAUAUGAACCAAAUCCAAACCACGGGAUAUUAAAUUGCAUAUCACUCCAUCACCAAACAUCAUAAAUACCUUGCCGGAUCAAUUAUCAUUCAUAGAAGACCUUGACAGCACCACAGAGAAAAGAAACAUAUAAGACACGCUCCCGAUAAUUAGACUGUAAGACCAGCAAAACCACCCAAAUCAGAACCACAAACAGAAAGGCACGAAAGAGCUUUAGAUAAAACACAAGUUAGAUUAUAUUCCCCAUUAAGUAUCCAUCACAUCUGUAGCUUUACAUAAGAGACUCUGAAGCUCAUUUUCCAACGGUUUGCAAAGGGUCCAACGAUAUAUGUAAAAUCAGAUUCAACAUUCCUAUAGCACAUGUAGUUUCAGAUAUUAAAAUUGAACUAAGACACUUCCCUUAAGCCACAGAAGAAAGGUACUGACUGGUAGGACAGGUAAAUAAAUUAUCUUUCCGCGUAGUCAAUAGGCCAGAGUAAUGUAGAUGGAACUAGCAAAAACUUUCUUUAAACAGAAGGCCCACCAUCAUUUUUGUAGCAAAUGUCUGUAGACAGAGAGGAAAAGAAGAACAGGGGAUUUGAAGAUUGAUUUGAAAGUAAUAUGACCGUAUAAAGUAGUAAUAUGAAAAUUGAGGGAGCCGUUAGAAAAUACUCUCUCAAAGAAUCUGAGACGCAUCUCACUAAGCCACUACCUGCUGCCGAUCAACACAUUUUGCAACCAGAAGCAAGAAGGUUUUCAUGAGAUAAAUAAAUCAGAAAUUAAAUUAUCUUCCCCGUCAUGUUGUCCGUUAAUCAGACUCAACCUCAGAUCCAACUGCACUAAUCCAUCUUUUGCUGAAGCAAUGGGUUAUCCUGUCCAAAGAUGGAACUUCAGCAGACCCCCUAAAAUACACAAACAAAAGUUACCAAAUGGGAGGACAUCCACCAUCAAUUUUCGAGAGGAAAAGCAAAACCCGGAUAAGGAGAAAAUACUCAAACUUGAAGCUGUUUCUUCUACCAAAAAUCAUAUUUUAACCAUUUCCUUCCAAGUCUAUGCCAUCUCGUAAAAGAAAACCAAACCAACGGACAAGAGAAAUCAUAAUCCAAACCCACACAAUCGAAAAAUAGACAAAAUAGUGGCCGAUAAGGAAACAUCAUACCACAUGCCAUAUCAAAAUCACCCAAAUAGAUUUGAAAACAUAUGGUCAUAUUUCAAAAUUGAAUGAGAAGGAUGAUGAUUACAUAAGAAUAUACAAUCUGGAACUGACAAAAACUCACUGAUCGAUAAGCUAAUUAAAUCACAAAAUAAAUUAUCUUGCCAUCAUCAGAUCCAACCGAGAUCUCUAGCUUAAGCAAUUGGCGAUCCUAUCCACAGUAUUCAGUUGUACUUAAGCUCCUUAUCCAGGUAUACAUACGCUCUAGUAAAAUCAGAUCCUCAUUCUACUUGCACAGUUAGCUUAGCUCCAUAAAUAAACAUGAAACACAACCAACAAAACAGAAAGUACCAAAUAGUAAUAAAGUAGUAAAGCAGUAAAGGGAUUUAAAAGAUACAUUAAAAAAAUUGUGAUAUAAAGUUAUAAAGUUAGAAAAAUAAGGAGAGAGAGAGAGAGAGAGAGAGAGAGAGAGAGAGAGAGAGAGAGAGAUUGAAAUAUCUGGAACUGACGGGAGUUUCAGAGCUGAGUUCCUACUUUAUUACCACAACUGCGGAUCAACACAGUCGAAAGCAACGGUUGAAGGUCAAGAAAUAUCAUAUUGCACAUAUAUAUCAUAAGGAGAAUCAAAGAGAGGUUCUUCAGAUGAGACAAAUAGGUUGAACAUCCAGUAGCAGAUCAAAAUAGCAGUCAAAAGGACGAAACUUUACCGGACACUCUGUUUAGAAUUGUCAUAUAAACACAAUUAAGACAAAAAGGAGAACAUACUCGUAUUCAAAGCGCUUUCUUCUACAAGGAAUCUUGUUCAAACAAGGUUGACAAAAAAUCAAAUCAGCCGAUUACCAAACCCUGGCAAGAUAAAACACAAUCCAAUCGCAUAACGCCUGAUAAUAAACAAUAAUAGACAACUCGUUGAUACCAUACCUAAUACCUCGAAAAUCACCAAAAGAAAACCAAUUCAGAAUCACAAUCAGACGGCCUCGCAAAGAUACGACCCCAAAUCCAUGACGAUACGAUUGUCAAACCGGCAAAAUAACCCCAAAUAAAAUCAAAUCAGGACCACAAUCAGACGGCAUCACAAAAGUGAAGAAAAAAAACACGCGACGGAUAAUCAUUGAAUUGAAUUGCGACGCGACGGAUAAUCAUUGAAUUGAAUUGCGCAGGUUUCUGCAGGAAAAGCAGUAAAGGGAUAUAAAAGAGAUAUUAAAAACAAUUGCAAUCUAAAGUUAGAAAAGUAAGGAGGAUGAGGGAGAGAGAGAGAAAGCAAGAUUGAACAAUUUUUGGAGCUGACGGAUAUCUAAGAGCGGAGUUCCAACUUUAUUACCACACCUGUCGAUCAACAGGUUCCAAAGCAAAGGUCUAGGAAUAUCAUAAGGAGAAUCAAAUCUUAAGGAGCAUCAAAAUCACCACAGAAAAGCACAAUCAAACCCUCUCGCAAAGAGGAGAAAUUGUUAUACCGGCGAAAUCACCCAAAUAAAAUUAAACAGAACCACAAUAAGACAGGAAUCGGAUAAGAGAGAGAAAAAAAAAAAGUAUACAACUGAGAAGUACAAACCUUUUGCAAUUUCAGUUCCAAAAAUUUCAGAAUUUAAAAACUUUGGACACUUAUAUUCCACCGAUGACCAGUUGUGAAUCAGUUAAAAAAAAAAAAAAAAAAAGAGAGAGAGAACGAGAUCUAAGAAAACAAAGAUUACAAGUUAUUAUGAUUCAGAACUUAUUCAACAUUUCAACAUCCAUUUCAUGCAUGACGCAGAGACUAAAUCCCAUUUCUAACGAAAUUUAGAAAAAUGGGAAAAUUUCACAGUUAGAUUUUCUGUGCCAUCCUCCUUUACCCGGGCUUGGGACCGGCUGUGCUGAGCAAAUCUAGCAGGCACAGGUGGAGUUACAAGAAUAUACCUAUAUAUACAACUACCAACACUAAAACGCACACAUAAUCACACAUAGAUAUAAACCGUUCCAGAACAAAUAUUAAAGCUGAGAAAUAGUUUGAUUCAUAUACGAUAGUAGAUUGGAUAAAAGCUUAGUUACUUAUAAAAACUUUUGUACUCAUUUCAAUCAUUCAUUUCCCUUUUCUUUCUUCCAACUAUUGUGGAUAACAUUAGAGAUAAAAGGAAAUACCUCAUGUGAAAAAAAUUACCAAAGUCGUAUCCAAGAGGACAUAAAUUUUAUCAAAUGAGGUAAACUAAUACUCACAUAAUUACAUAUUAAAUUUCACGCACUUGAAAAUUCUCACAUAGUAGAAAUCACGAUGAAGAGCUGACCAAGAACUGUGCAGAAUGGUAAUCCAAAGAAUAUUCAGAAGAUUUUAAACAUCCUCAAAACAGCAGAGCAACAAAUCCAAAGUCUCCUCAUAAGAAUCACAACAUGCGAGCAGAAACAAGGCCCCAACAAUCAACUUCAAAUACUACUUGACAACUGAACAAGGUUUAUCAUUCUGAUAUGCAUAGUGCCAACUUAGCUUGUGUAGAAAAAUUGCCAGGAAGAAAAAACCAAGUCUUCGUAGGAUGCCUAUAACUCAAUGCAUAUAAACCAGAAAGAGAUGUUUAAGGCCACAAUAAAGAAUACUACUCACUUGAUCUGCAGAAGAAGCACGUUCCACACCAACUAAAAAGCACACACAAUUCCAGUGCCAAAUAAAAGAGAAACCGCUAGAAACAAAACUCUGCAUAAACCUUGCGAAGAAACCAAGGAACACCAUACGAAGGCACAUUGGGAGCGUCUUAUUGCUAUUCAUGAUCUCAUAUUUUGUAGUGAAAUUCAUGAGGCAAGUUAAUAUGAUAAAAGUGUAUCCUGGAAUUGAGAAAUUCAUGAUAGGGAUGAUUAACUGAAGACUGCAAAGAAAAAUAAAGAUAAUAAAAAAUCAUAGCUCCGGGAAAGCGAAGCACCGAAAGAUAAAAAGUUAAUAACCAACAAGUAAAAGAAGAGUCUAAAUGCUCGACACAUAGUUGGCAAAAGUUCAAUUAUGAAUAAGCUUUUUAGCCUCUAGUUUAAAGCCCAAUAGAAUAUCAAUGUCAACAUUCGUUUUAGUAGAUUACUUACAAAAGUGAAUUUUCGGACAAAUAGAGACUUCAGAAACUAGUGAACCUAGGAUGGCAUGUUAAUUAAGAAGAAUGCAAGAAACAGAUUUAAAAUGCCACUAUUGAAAAUGAAUUUUAUAUUCCGCAAGUUUAUGAAAAUAUAAAAUAAAAAUCCAAAUUCAAAUCAGUACAUUAUAACUUAUAAUUAUAUAAAUCUGGACAACUAGAAUCCUAAAAAACUCGAGGAAGAACAUAGAAAAUAGAUUAUAGGUAGUAGAAAGAAGUAAAAGAGUCGACGCAGAACAUGCAGCCAAAGCAGAGAUGAGGGAACUUUUUCCUUACUAUCAUGAAUUCUAACCAAUAUAUUAUAAACAGUUACAAUCUACCCGUCAUCAUCCAUAAACUACAAAUUAUAAUUUAUAACCUCUUCAAGAUUAGAAAAUUUUAUAAAUUAAAGAUUAUAGAUUAUAAAUUGCUAAUGUCUAUAUGUAGAAAAAUGAAAAAAAGUUAACUAGGAUUUCUGAGAGAACUAAAAUAAUCUCCAUGUUUUUUUUUUGGCGUAAUAAAGUUCACUAGGAUUUCAUCAGUGCUUUUGGGAGAUUGUGUUUCCUAUUAACUAAUCUUGGCAAGUAAGAAUGAUAUCAAAAUUUGCUUCCAAUGGCCAAAAAAGGGGUUUAGUUAAAGGAAAUAUAUCCAAAAAAGGGUGACGAUAUAAUUAAUAAUUAUUAAUUAAUCAAACCAGUUUAGGCGGAAAUAGGACAGACAAAUCAUAUACUUGCAGCCAAAAAACAGAUUGCCAUCAACAAAAAGUAAUGUAAAUAAGUAGUGUGAUAGAAAGAGCAAUUCAGACCAAUAUUUGUUAUCUUGAAGAAAUUCGUUAACCAAGAAACGUAAACAGGGUCAAUAGCUUACUUUGCUGGUUUCACUGCUUCACAUAAUGUAGAGUCCUUCAAAAAUGUUAACCCAAACCACCAAAUAAUAUAAUAACCACACUUAGGGUGAAAAAUCUUCUUAGAUCAAAGCCAUACAACAUCAACUCGAAUUAGAUCAAAGCACAAGUUCAGUACCAGCUCCAUGUAGGAAAGAUCUCCAAAGAUAAGAACUAUAAAACACAAGCACAACUCGCAAACACAACCCAGAAAUUUCAACGAACAAACUGCCGACAACAGAAAUAACUAAAGAAAUAGAGGAUGUUCAAUCAAACGAGUCUUGGCAAUCCAUUAAGAAGACGUAAGCUGAGAUAAAACCCUUAAAAGGCCUGAAAAUAUAAUACAAAUCGAAUUUCACCUACACCAAAUACGCUGGUUAAUGAAGUGAUGAUGAACGGUCAGAAAAUUCCAACGACAGAGAAUCGAUGGAGAGCAGUUAACAUAUGAUAGGGCCAAUCCCAUCUAGGUUCUCAAAAAAAGGCGAGCAAACCCCAAAACCGGAAGAACAUAGAGAUCAAACAACCAUAGGACUAAACUCAAUGGCAGGGAAGGAGAACAGACUUGUGGAAAUUUUCCAAAAUUCGAAAGCUUUAUCGAAUAUCAAGAAAAUAUCAAGACAAACUGUAUUAUUCUCCACAGCAAAGACAGAUUACCAGGGCCUUAAUGCAUAAUCAUACGUUCCAAUUCAGCCUAUUUUACCACAAAAAAGGAAAGCAAGUCCCAUAACCAGAAAAUACAUCAACUUCCCCAUUAUGUCGUGAUCGAAUCAGUAGCUUUAAGUCAAGACUAUAAACCUCAAAUCCAACUGCAUGCAAAGUUAAGAAAAAAUGAAACAGACGGGGACCGGGUAAACACAGAAGGUAAAAGAAGUCCGAUGAAAUAAAUAAAUCAUCAAUUAAAUCUUCCCCGUAAUGUACCGACCCAAGUAGCUUCCGACAAGAUUCUAAAAACCUCAGACCGAACUGCAAUUUAAAGGACAAAUCAGAUAUAAAAAUCAGGCAACAUCCAUGUAGGAAGGAGGGGUAUUUGAACACAAUAUGGAAAUAGUAGUCCUAUAAAAUAAAUAUAUCACUAAUUAUAUUAUCUUCCACAUUUAGGUAGUGAGAGAUAUUAGGACACAAAAAUUUAUAGUCAAUAAGAAACAACAAAAAUUAGAUCAUCUUCCCCGUUACGUCUCGAUCCCAACAAUAGCUUUAAGUAAGACACUAAACAAAGAACUGCAAGCAAUGGAUAACAAAAUGAAACAUCCAGAUAGGGAGGGUGAAUUAAGUCCCAUCAAAUGCUUCAGACAAAACUUUAAACCUCAAUUCCAACCGCAUCAUAGACAAGAGAGAACAGAACAUCCAGGUGGAAAAGGAUGUAUUAGUACAGAAUAAGGGAGUUUAAGUGCCAUGAAAUAAAUAAAUCAGAAUUUAGGUUAUCUUCCCCAUUACAUAUGAACUCCACCAAUAGCUUUAAGAUAAGAAUCUCAAGUUCAACUGCAUGCAAUCGGCAAGACAAAAUGGAACAUUCAGGUGGGGAGGGGAUAUUAGCACUAAAAUAGGGAAAUUCCCGUGAAAAAAAUCAAUCAUAUGUUAGAUCUUCCCCAUUAUGCCCCACCAAGUAGCUUUAGAUAAAACUGAACCUCUUACAGGCCGCGGCAAAACAAAAAAUCCAGGUGGGGAGGGAGCAUUAGCAUACAAUAAGCGAAUAGCAGUCCUAUGAAAUAAAUAACUCACAAGUUGGAUUAUUUUCCCCGUUAUUUCUCGUUCCCAUAGCUUUAAGAUACGACUCUAAACAUCCAAUCCAACUGUAUUCAACCAGACACAAAAUAAGAGAUUUGGCUGUCUUUUGACUCAAAUAGAUCGGAAAUUAGAUUAUCUUCCCCUUGUGUUUGUGACCUCUGAUCCAAAUGCAUUUACCAGACAGGACAGAAUAAAUCAUCUAAGCCGCGAGGGGGUGAUUAGCACGAAAUAGAACUAUGAAUUUAAAAACAAAAAUUAGUUCCCCAUUUGUUCGAUCCCAUUAGUAGCUUUAAGAUAAGACUCCAAACCCGAGAUCGACUGCAUGAACGAACCAAUGGAACAUCCAGGUGGGGAGGGGGCUUUAGCACACAAGGAAGGAAUAAAAAUGCAAACGAAAUACAUAAAUUAUAUAUUAGAUUAUCUUCCCAAUUUAUGUCUUCAUCCCAUAAUCAUCCAAAUUAUAUAUAACGGACAAACCCUGAGAUCUGAAUCCAACUGCAUUUGAUGGACAAGAAUGAAAAAAAAUUAAGAUGGCUGAGUGGGUGGAGGGAGGAUUGUGUGAGCACACAAUAAUUCAAAAAAUCAAUUAUCUUCUCUAAUAUGCUUCAAUCCAUUCAAUAGCUUUAAGAUAAGACUGUCUAAACCUCAUAUCCAGCCAGCUGCAUUUACUCAGGUCUUUUUCUUACGAGAAAGGUGAUCUGUUCACAUGAUCCAUAAGAGGCUAAAGUCUCGUAAAAUUAGAUUUUCAUCAUUCCAGUAGUUAGCUUUAGAAAAUAAAGAUGAAACUAGCAUGACUUCCUAAAGACCACAAAUCAAAGGUACCAAAUGGUUGGACAACACCGUCAUUUAUGUUUCAAGUUUCUGCAAAUAGAAAGGAAAAACGAAAUAGGAUUUGAAAUGUAAAAAAUAAUAGAUUAUGGAGGGAUUCAAAGAAUAUUAACUUAACAUCACUAUCGUACUCACCACCACUCGUCGAUCAACAGUCAACACAGCCCAAACCAUCUUAUGUAGCAACCGAACUUCUCAAAACAUAACACAAAAUUGUCAUACAACCAAGCAAAUUCACGAAAAGACGGAGAAAUGCUCAAAGCUCGAAACACUUUCCUUUACCCAGAAAUCCUGACCGCGCAGAAUUAAAAAAAAAAAAUCAAACCAGCCAACAACCAGACCAAGAUGGGAAAACAUGAACCAAAUCCAAACCACAUGAUAUUAAAUUGCAUAUCACUCCAUAAGCAAACAUCAUAAAUACCUUGCCAGAUCAAUUAUCAUUCAAAGAAGACCUAGACAGCGCCACAGAGAAAAGAAACAUAUAACAGAGGCUCCCGAUAAUUAGACUGUAAGACCAGCAAAACCACCCAAAUCAGAACCACAAACUGAUAGGCACGAAAGAACUUUAGCUAAAACACAAGUUAGAUUAUCUUCACCAUUAAGUAUCCAUCACAUCUGUAGCUUUACAUAAGAGACUCUGAAGCUCAUUUUCCAACGGUUUGCUUAAGAAAUUGGUGAUCCUGUGCAAAGGGUCCAAGGGAUACAUGUAAAAUCAGAUUCAUCAUUCCUAUAGCACAUGUAGUUUCAGAUAGUAAAAUUGAACUACGACACUUCCCUUAAGCCACAAAAGAAGGGUACUGACUGGUACGCCAGAGUAAUGUCUGCAGACAGAAAGCAAUAUGACCGUAUAAAGUGUAAUAUGAAAAUUGGACGAAAAGGUGAUAGUAGGGAGACAUUAGAAAAUACUCUCUCAAAGAAACUGCCGAUCAACACAUUUUGCAACCAGAAGCCAGAAAUUUUUUAUGAGAUAAAUAAAUCAGAAAUUAAAUUAUCUUCCCCAUCAUGGCGUCCGUUAAUAAACUCAACCUCAGAUCCAACUGCACUAAUCCAUCUUUUGCUGAAGCAAUGGGUUAUCCUGUCCUAAGAUGGAACUACCGCAGACCCCUAAAAUACACAAACAAAAGUUACCAAAUGCGAGGACAUCCACCAUUAAUUUUCGAGAGGAAAAGCAAAGCUGGGAUAAGGAGAAAAUAUUCAAACUUGAAGUUGUUCCUUCUACCAAAAAUCAUAUUUUAACCAUUUCCUUCGAAGUCUAUGCCAUACAUGAAGUAGUACAUUAUCUGACAAACUAAAAGCACAAACAACUCCAGUGCAAAAUAAAAGAGGAACUAAUAGAAAUAGCAUCCAAACGCCUUAGAUGAAGACACAUUUGGGGGCUUAUUGCAAGUCAUUAUCUCAUAUUUUGUAGUGAAGUUCAUGAGGCAAGUGGAUAUGAUAAAACUGUCUCCCGGAACCAAGAAAUUCGUGAUAGGGAUUAACCGAAGACUGUCAAAGAAAAAUAAAGUAAACAAAAAAAAUCACAGCUCCGGAAAAGCGAACCACCCAAAGAUAAAAAGUCAAUAACCAACAAGCAAAAGAAGAGUCAAAAUUCCUAACACAUAAUAGGCAAAAGUUUAGUUAUGAAUAAGAAAUGUCAACACUCGUUUUAGUAGUCAUAUCAAAUUGCAAUUUUACUUGGUAAAGUGAAUUUCGGACAGAUAAUUAUAAUCAAAACUUAUGGAUUGAAACUGGUGGACCUAGGAUGGCAUGUUAAUUAAGAAGAAUGCAAGAAACAUGUUUAAAAUGCACCAUCAAAAAUAAAUUUUAUAUGCAGCAAGUUUAUAAAAAUAUAAAAUAAAAAAUUCAAAUUCGAAUGAGUACAUUAUAAUUUAUAAUUUAUGAAUUAUAUAAAUCUUGAUCAAUAGAAUCCUAAAAAAACUAGAGAAGAACAUAUAAAAUAGGUUAAAUGUAGCAGAAGGAAGCAAAAGACUCCAUGCAGAUCAUGCAGCCUAAGCAGAGAUUAGGGAAUUUUAUCCUUAGUGUAACCAUAUCAUAUAGAAAAUUCUAGCCAAGAUAUUAUAAACAGAUAAUUUCUAGGCAAGAUAUUAUAAACAGAUAAAAUCUAGCCGCAAUCAUCCAUCAAUUAUAAUUUACAAUUUAAAUUAUCCUAUUCAAGAUUAGAAUAUUUAAUAAAUUAAAGAUUCUAGAUUAUUCGAUUACAAAAAGAGAGUAGAGCUAUAUAUGUCAUUAUGAUUACCUUAAUUCCUGCUAAGAAAACUGAGAAACCAGCAUAACACCAUCAACUCAGCAACCAAACUCUACGAGGUACUAGGAAGACGAACCCGAGCAUAGAUAAAUAUGUUUUACUGAACAAUAAAUAUACAGCACAAAAAGCCACAAAAAGAAACCAAAGGACAUGGAGACAAAGUUCAAGAAGCUACACGUAAUUGGAUUUGCCUAUUGUUAAAGUUAUCAAAUGGCAUAAAUAAUUGUUAGUAUAGUAGUUCAAAAUUCAGAUAUGUAAUAUAUUUCGCUAAUGUCUGUGUACAGAAAAAUGAAAAAAGCCAACGAGGAUUUCUGAGAGAAAUAUAUAAUCUCCAUGUUUUUUUCGCAUGAUAAAGUUAACCAGGAUUCAUCGGUGCUUUUGGGGCCUCGUGUAUCCUAUUAACUAAUCUUGGCAAGUACGAAUGAUAUCAAAAUUUUCUUUUAAAGGCCAAAAUAAAAGGUUUGGUCAAGCGAAAUAUGUCCAAAAAAGGGUGAUCUGCUAGCAAUCAAAACAGCACUUUGAUGAUAUAAUUACUAAUUAAUCAAACCAGUUUAGGCAGAAAUAGGACAGACAAAUCAUAAAGUUAAUUAAAAUGCAAACGGUAAGUAAACCUACGUCUGUUUUAAGCAGAGAAUAGAAAUCAAGGACAGAUCAGAAAGCACAAGACAAUGAAACAUCGAUGUAGUGACGAGGUAACAGAAGUCCUCUGAAAUAAAUAAAUCACAAAUUAGUUGUCUUCCCCAUUGUGCCUUUAGACAAGACUUUAACCUCAGAUCCAACUGCAUUUAAUAGACAAGAUAGAAAAAAAGCACAUAAGGUAAUAGAAAUACUAUGAAAUAAACAAAUCACAAAAUGCGCCAACUUCCCCAUUAUGUCGUGAUCCAAUCAGUAGCUAAGACUCUAAACCUCAAAUCCAACUGCAUGCAAAGUUAAGAAAAAAUGAAACAGACGGAGGGUAAAAAAACACAGAAGGUAAAAGAAGUCCUAUGAAAUAAAUAAAUCAUCAAUUAGAUCUACCCCUUUAUGUCCCGACCCAAGUAGCUUCCGAUAAAACUGCAAUUUAAAGGACAAAUCAGAUUACAAAGGUGGUGUUUGCAAAUGAUUAUUAAAAGCAGAAGUUAGUGAUUGUGAGUUAAGUCAGUUUUAAGUGCUUAUUUCUAAAAGUUGGGGGUGUUUUCAAAUAUUCCGGCAAAUGAACUUAAAUAGAAAAAGCUCAAAGAAGAUUAUUUUAAGAGAAGCAAAAGCAAAAUUAGAUUUCGCAAACACCUGAAAACAGAUUAUGAGUAAAAAAAGCUCAUAAUCACUUUCAAAAAGCGUUUACAAACACCACCAAAGUCAGGCAACAUCAAUGUAGGAAGGGGAUAUUAAAACAACAUGUAAAUAGUAGUCCUAUGAAAUAAAUAUAUCACUAAUUAUAUUAUCUUCCCCAUUAUGUCGCGAUCCGUUGCCAGCUUUUCUCACAUCCAACUGCAUUUACCAGACAAUAAAACAUCUAGGCAGUGACACAAAAAGGUGACAGAAUUCCUAGGAAACAAAUAAAUGAAAAUUAGAUCAUCUUCCCCAUUAUGUCUCGAUCCCAACAGGUAAGACACUAAACUCAGAACAACUGCAAGCAAUGGACAAGACAAUGACACAUCAAAGUAGGGAGGGGGAAUUAGCAAACAAGAAGUAAUAGAAGUCCUAAGAAAUAAACAGAUCACAAAUUAGUUAUCUAUCCCAUUAACUCUUUGUCCCAUCAAUGGCUUCAGCAAAACUCUAAACAUCAGAUCCAAUUGCAUUUACCAGGAAUGACGAAAUAAAACAUUUAGGUAGUGACAGAUAUUAGCAAACAAAAAGGUUAGAGUCACUAAGAAACAAAUAAAUAAACAAUUAGAUCACCUUCCACGUUACGUCUCGAUCCCAACAAUAGCUUUAAGGUAAGACACUAAACUCAGAACAACUGCAAUCAAUGGUAAACAGAAUGAAACAUCCAGGUAGGGAGGGUGAACAAAUCAUAAAUUAGUUAUCUUCCUCGUUUUAUCUCUGUCCCAUCAAUGGCUUCAGACAAGACUCUAAACCUCAAACCAAACUGCAUGUCAUAGACAAGGGAGAACAUAAAAUCCAGGUGGAGAGUGGAUGUAUUAGCACAGAACAAGGGAGUAUAAGUGCCCGCGAAAUAAAUAAAUCAAAAAAUUAGAUUAUCUUCCCCAUUAUGUAUGGACUCCACCAGUAGCUUUAAGAUAAGAAUCUAAACCUCAAAUUCAACUGCUGCAUGCAAUGGAACAUUCAGGUGGGGAGGGAGCAUUAGCACUAUAUAAGGGAAUAGCAGUCCUAUGAAGUAAAUAGCUCACAAUUUAGAUUAUCUUCCCCGUAGCUUUAAGAUACAACUCUAAACCUCCAAUCACAGCUGCAUUUAACGGCAAAACAGAACAAAACAUCCAGGUAUGCCCAUUAGCACAAAAUAAGAGAUUGGCUGUCUUAUGACUUAAAUAGAUCCCAAAUUAGAUUAUCUUCCCCUUAUGUUUGUGCCCAUCACAGCUGUUAAGAUAAGACUCCAAACCUCAGAUCCAACUGCAUUUACCAGACAGGAGGACAGAAUAAGAUUAGCACGAAAUAGAACUCUGAAAUUAAAAAAACACAAAUUAGAUCAUCUUCCCCAUUAUGUUCGAUCCCAUUAAUAGCUUUAAGAUAAGACUCCAAACCCGAGAUCCAACUGCAUGCAAUGGACAAACCAAUGGAACAUCCAGGUGGGGAGGGGGCAUUGGCACACAAGAAAGGAAUACAAAUGCAACAAAAUAAAUAAAUCAUAUCUCAGAUUAUCUUCCCAAUUUAUGUCUUCAUCCCACCAGUCAUCCAUAUUGUACAUAACAGACAAACCCUGAGAUGCAUUUGAUGGACAAGAAAGAACCAAAAAAUAAGCUCACAAUAAAUCAAAAAGCUCAUAUCCAAAAGAACCAAAAAAUAAGCUCACAAUUAAUCAAAAAGCUCAUAUCCAACUGCAAGUCUAGUAAAAUUAGAUUUUCAUCAUUCCAGUAGUUAGCUUUAGAAAAUAACUUCCUAAAGACGACAAUCAAAGGUACCAAAUGGUUGGACAACCACCGUCAUUUUUGUUGUAAGUUUCUGCAAAUAGAAAGGAAAAACGAAAUAGGAUUUGAAAUAUAAAAAAGAAUAGACUAUGGAGGGAUUCAUAAGAAUAUAAAACUUGGCAUCACUAUCGUACUCACCAGCACUCGUUGUUCAACACAACCCAAAUCACUAUCGUACUCACCACCACUCGUUGUUCAACACAGCCCAAAUCAUACUAUGUAGCAACCGAACUUCUCAAAACAUAACAAGAAAUUGCCAUAUUCACGAAAAGAUGGAGAAAUGCCCAAAGCUCGAAACACUUUCCUUUUUCCAGAAAUCCUAUGACCGCGCGGAAAACAAAAUCAAACCAGCCAACAACCAGACCAGGAUGGGAAAAUAUGAACCAAAUCCAAACCACGGGAUAUUAAAUUGCAUAUCACUCCAUAACCAAACAUCAUAAAUACCUUGCCCGAUCAAUUAUCAUUCAUAGAAGACCUUGACAGUACCACAGAGAAAAGAAACAUAUACGACACGCUCCCGAUAAUUAGACUGUAAGACCAGCAAAACCACCCAAAUCAGAACCACAAACAGAAAGGCACGAAAGAGCCUUACAUAAAACACAAGUUAUAUUCCCCAUUAAGUAUCCAUCACAUCUGUAGCUUUACAUAAGAGACUCUGAAGCUCAUUUUCCAACGGUUUGCAAAGGGUCCAAGAUAUAUGUAAAAUCAGAUUCAUCAUUCCUAGAGCACAUGUAGUUUCAGAUAUUAAAAUUGAACUACGACACUUCCCUUAAGCCACAGAAGAAAGGUACUGACUGGUAGGACAGCUAAAUAAAUUAUCUUUCCGCUUAAUCAAUAGGCCAGAGUAAUGUAGAUGGAACUAGCAAAACUUUCUUCAAACAGAAGGCCCACCAUCAUUUUUGUAGCAAAUGUCUGCAGACAGAAAGGAAAAGAAGAACAGGGGAUUUGAAGAUUGAUUUGAAAGUAAUAUGACCGUAUAAAGUAGUAAUAUGAAAAUUGAGGGAGC
rnacentral:lncRNA from 1 species